GAUGAACGCUGGCGGUAUGCUUAACACAUGCAAGUCGAACGGUCACUUCGGUGAUAGUGGCGGACGGGUGAGUAACGCGUGAGAAUCUGUCUUCAGGUCGGGGACAACAGUUAGAAAUGACUGCUAAUACCGGAUGUGCCUUUGGGUGAAAGAUUUAUUGCCUGAAAAAGAGCUCGCGUCAGAUUAGCUAGUAGGUGGUGUAAGAGACUACCUAGGCUCCGAUCUGUAGCUGGUCUGAGAGGACGAUCAGCCACACUGGAACUGAGACGCGGUCCAGACUCCUACGGGAGGCAGCAGUGGGGAAUUUUCCGCAAUGGGCGAAAGCCUGACGGAACAAUACCGCGUGAGGGACGAAGGCUUUUGGGUCGUAAACCUCUUUUCUCAAGGAAGAUGAUGACGGUACUUGAGGAAUAAGCAUCGGCUAACUCUGUG
rnacentral:rRNA from 1 species